GGGUGCGAUUAUACCAUAACUAAAGCACCGGAUCCCAUCAAAACUCCGAAGAUAAGCGUGCUUCAGCGAGAGUAAUACUAGGAUGGGUUACCCCCUAGGAAGUCCUCGUGUUUCACUCC
rnacentral:rRNA from 15 species